rnacentral:tRNA from 1 species
GGGGUGGUUUGAUAAUAACAAAGACUGCUAAUUUUUGUAACCUCGGUUUAAUUCCGGGGCCAGCCUA